UUGCCCUAGUAACGGCGAGUGAAGCGGCAACAGCUCAAAUUUGAAAUCUGGUUUCGGCCCGAGUUGUAAUUUGCAGAGGAAGCUUUAGGCGCGGCACCUUCUGAGUCCCCUGGAACGGGGCGCCAUAGAGGGUGAGAGCCCCGUAUAGUUGGAUGCCUAGCCUGUGUAAAGCUCCUUUCGACGAGUCGAGUAGUUUGGGAAUGCUGCUCAAAAUGGGAGGUAAAUUUCUUCUAAAGCUAAAUACCGGCCAGAGACCGAUAGCGCACAAGUAGAGUGAUCGAAAGAUGAAAAGCACUUUGAAAAGAGGGUUAAAUAGCACGUGAAAUUGUUGAAAGGGAAGCGCUUGUGACCAGACUUGCGCCGGGCUGAUCAUCCGGUGUUCUCACCGGUGCACUCUGCCCGGCUCAGGCCAGCAUCGGUUCUCGCGGGGGGAUAAAGGCCCAGGGAAUGUAGCUCCUCCGGGAGUGUUAUAGCCCGGGGCGGAAUGCCCUCGCGGGGACCGAGGUUCGCGCUCUGCAAGGAUGCUGGCGUAAUGGUCAUCAGCGACCCGUCUUGAAACACGGACCAAGGAGUCAAGGUUUUGCGCGAGUGUUUGGGUGUAAAACCCGCACGCGUAAUGAAAGUGAACGUAGGUGAGAGCUUCGGCGCAUCAUCGACCGAUCCUGAUGUUUUCGGAUGGAUUUGAGUAAGAGCGUUAAGCCUUGGACCCGAAAGAUGGUGAACUAUGCUUGGAUAGGGUGAAGCCAGAGGAAACUCUGGUGGAGGCUCGCAGCGGUUCUGACGUGCAAAUCGAUCGUCAAAUCUGAGCAUGGGGCGAAAGACUAAUCGA
rnacentral:rRNA from 1 species